rnacentral:rRNA from 1 species
ACUCCUACGGGAGGCAGCAGUGGGAAUAUUGCACAAUGGGCGCAAGCCUGAUGCAGCCAUGCCGCGUGUGUGAAGAAGGCCUUCGGGUUGUAAAGUACUUUCAGCAGUGAGGAAGGUAGUGUAGUUAAUAGCUGCAUUAUUUGACGUUAGCUGCAGAAGAAGCACCGGCUAACUCCGUGCCAGCAGCCGCGGUAAUACGGAGGGUGCGAGCGUUAAUCGGAAUUACUGGGCGUAAAGCGCAUGCAGGUGGUUUGUUAAGUCAGAUGUGAAAGCCCGGGGCUCAACCUCGGAAUAGCAUUUGAACUGCAGACUAGAGUACUGGUAG